rnacentral:RNase_P_RNA from 1 species
CGAGUCGGCCGGACAGUCGCGGGGGUUGCGACCCUCGAGGAAAGUCCGGGCUCCACAGGGCAGGGUGCCAGGUAACGCCUGGGAGGCGCGAGCCUACGGAAAGUGCCACAGAAAACAUACCGCCGAUGGCCCACGGGCACAGGCAAGGGUGAAAAGGUGCGGUAAGGGCGCACCGCGCGGGUGGCAACACGCCGCGGCAGGGUAAACCCCACCCGGAGCAAGACCAAAUAGGGAGGCCAGGAUGCGGCCCGCAUCGCCUCCGGGUAGGUCGCUCGAGGCAGCCGGUGACGGCUGUCCCAGAUGAAUGACUGUCCCCGACAGAACCCGGCUUACAGGCCGGCUCGUAUU